rnacentral:piRNA from 1 species
UGAUGAUUGCUGUAAUCUGACAUGAUGU